AUCCAUCUGACGAGUCCCAAAUAGGACGAAAUGCACGUCUGGAU
rnacentral:hammerhead_ribozyme from 1 species